GGCUGCUGUAGUGUGUUGUUGCUAGGUGGGGUGAAGCUGAGGGCUGCUGUAGUGUGUUGUAGCUAGGUGGGGUGAAGCUGAGGUCUGCUGUAGUGUGUUGUAGCUAGGUGGGUUGAAGCUGAGGUCUGCUGUAGUGUGUUGUUGCUAGGUGGGGUGAAGCUGAGGGCUGCUGUUGUGUGUUGUAGCUAGGUGGGGUGAAGCUGAGGUCUGCUGUAGUGUGUUGUUGCUAGGUGGGGUGAAGCUGAGGGCUACUGUAGUGUGUUGUAGCUAGGUGGGGUGAAGCUGAGGUCUGCUGUAGUGUGUUGUUGCUAGGUGGGGUG
ensembl:lncRNA